GCACGUGCCGCGCGCGCGUCCUGUCGUAUCGUGCACGUGUAGUGAUAGGUUAUUUAGAUUUUGUUCAGAAUUGUACCAAUUAAUGAGGGACUUGUAUUUUUUUAUAGUGAAGUAUAAUAAAUUGCAAUGAAUUACCGUAGUGCGUAUAACGUUGAAAGUAACAAUAAUACUUACAAUAUAAUAAAUUCUAUGUGUUUGAUGAUAGCAAUGAUGUGCUUACAGGGAGCCGUUACAACUUCUAACGGUUUUCUAGUAAAUCCAAUUCCAGUUUUCGAAAUCUCUAAAUCCGCCGAAGAGUAAAUACGCUGAGCGUGUGUGCCCUUCGUGAAAUCCAAGCGGGAGGCAUUCUAUAUUGCACUACUUGCCUUGGUGGACGUUAAACUAGCCCCA